rnacentral:rRNA from 1 species
GUAGUCCACGCCGUAAACGAUGGGUACUAGAUGUUGCGGGAAUUGACCCCUGCAGUGUCGAAGCUAACGCAUUAAGUACCCCGCCUGGGAAGUACGGCCGCAAGGUUAAAACUCAAAGGAAUUGACGGGGGCCCGCACAAGCGGUGGAGCAUGUGGUUUAAUUCGAUGCAACGCGAAGAACCUUACCUGGGUUUGACAUCCUCUGACAGCUCUAGAGAUAGAGUCUUGUAGCAAUACACAGAGAGACAGGUGCUGCAUGGCUGUCGUCAGCUCGUAUCGUGAGAUGUCGGGUUAAGUCCCUUAACGAGCGCAACCCUUGUCCUUAGUUGCCACCAUUUAGUUGGGCACUCUAAGGAGACUGCCGGUGUUAAACCGGA